GCGAGGUGACACGGGGUGACACGGGGUGACAUAAGGCGACACAUGGGGUGACACAGGUUGACAUGGGGUGACAGGAGGUGACAGGAGGUGACAGAUGAGGUGACACCGUGGGCUCACGUGCUCGCGCUGCAGCCGCUUGUGCUCCUCCAUCAGGGCCUCCAGCUGCUGCCAGAAAUCCUCUCUGGGGACAGGGGGCCGUGUCCCCUCAAUGUCCCCAAUGUCCCCUUGUUGUCCCCUCAAUGUCCCCUCACUGUCCCCAUUGUGUCCUCUCGUUGUUCCCUCAUUGUCCCCAUUGUGUCCCCUCAGUGUCCCCUCACCGUCCCCAUAAUGUCCCCAUUGUGUCCCCAUUGUGUCCCCACAAUGUCCCCUCAAUGUCCCCCCAAUGUCCCUUCACUGUCCCCUCAAUGUCCCCUCACUGUCCCCAUUGUGUCCCCACUGUGUCCCCAUUGUGUCCCCUCAAUGUCCCCCCAAUGUCU
rnacentral:lncRNA from 1 species